AGCCCCGCGCCGACUGAAUCCUGUCGCGGAAACGCGACUGGCGGCAGCUCUUUAGUUCUGGAGUCACUGGUGUCCUGCUGGCGGCAUGUUACCUGCUGUGAAAACUGUGGAGGCGGAAGAAGAGUACGCGGAGGAUUGUCCUGAAUUGGUCCCCAUUGAGACCAAGAACCAAGAAGAGGAAAAUCUUGACUUCAUCACUAAGAUUCCAGUCACAAUUGUCACCGGGUACUUAGGUAAUUAAGGGGGGCUGCCGUGUCUCCUCAGGCACCCGGGCCUCCUGGCCGAGGACGAAUCUUCGAGGUGCUGGAAAGACAACACUUCUGAACUACAUUUUGACAGAACAACAUAAUAGAAAAAUAGCAGUGAUUUUAAAUGAAUUUGGAGAAGGGAGUGCAGUAGAGAAAUCCUUAGCUGUCAGUCAAGGUGGAGAACUCUAUGAAGAAUGGCUGGAACUUAGAAAUGGUUGCCUCUGCUGUUCAGUCAAGGACAGUGGCCUUAGAGCUAUAGAGAAUCUGAUGCAAAAGAAGGGCAAGUUUGACUACAUACUCUUAGAGACCACUGGGCUAGCAGAUCCUGGUGCAGUGGCUUCUAUGUUUUGGGUUGAUGCUGAGUUAGGGAGUGAUAUUUAUCUUGAUGGUAUCAUAACUGUUGUAGAUUCAAAAUAUGGAUUAAAACAUUUAACUGAAGAAAAACCUGAUGGCCUUGUCAAUGAAGCUACUAGGCAAGUUGCAUUGGCAGACAUGAUUCUCAUCAAUAAAACAGACUUGGUUUCAGAAGAGGAGCUAAACAACUUAAGAACAACUAUCAGAUCAAUAAAUGGACUGGGAAAAGUUUUAGAAACUCAGAGAUCAAGAGUUCAUCUCUCAAAUAUAUUAGACCUUCAUGCCUAUGAUAUUCUCUCUGGAAUAAGUUUACAGAAAAAGCUCCAGCAUGUGUCAACAGCACCCCACCUUGAUCAGAGUAUUGUUACAGUCACAUUUGAAGUACCAGGAAGUGCAAAGGAAGAAUGUCUAAAUGUAUUUAUCCAGAAUCUCCUGUGGGAAAAGAACGUGAAAAACAAGGACGGCCACUGCAUGGAGGUCAUUCGGCUAAAGGGACUGGUGUCUAUCAAAGACAAACCACAGCAAAUGAUUGUGCAAGGCAUCCAUGAGCUGUACGACCUGGAAGAAAGCCUAGUGAACUGGAAGGAUGAUGCGGAGAGAGCGUGUCAGCUGGUCUUCAUUGGUAGAAAUUUAGAUAAGGAUGUUCUUCAACAACUCUUCCUCACUGCUGUGGCAGAGGCAGAAGAGCAAAGGACAGCACCAGGCAGAGAUGGAGUUUGUCCAUCGCACUAGAAGCUGUUUCUUACCGGAAGAACUGACGAGAAAAACAAAGAUGUAUUUAAAUCCUGGAUCCACUACCGCUGUUGUGAUUUGGGAGUAUACGUAUAAUAGUAUUUAUUUUAUAAAAACACAUAACAUUGUAGUAAAUUAUUAUAAAAAAUAUCUGAUAUUCAUAAAAUAUAUCCUCUGGAGGUUUUUUUUGAGGCAAGUAUUUCACAAAAGUUCCAGAAUUUUCUUUGAAGUUUAAGUAUGACUGCUGACAACUUAUCCAUCAUUAUUUGUAAAAAUGAUGGCAAACAUUUUCAUUUUCUCUUAAAAACUUCAGGUUAUUGCUGAGAUACAAUGAAUACAGUGAUAGUAACAAAAAAUUGCUAUCAUUAUAUUUAAAACCAGCUUAACCUUUAUUUUUAUGCUAUGUGUGUGAGUAUUUUGCCUGCAUGUAUGUCUGUGUACUUUGCACAUUCAGUGUCUGAAGUCCAGAAGGCACCAGAUCUCCUGGAGCUGAAGUCACAGACGGUUGUAAGUCUUCAUGUGGGUGCUGUGAACUAAACCCAGGUCCUCUGGAAGAACAGCCAGCACUCUUAACUACUGAGCCAUCCAUCUCUUCAACUCUCUCACUGUGUUUUUAGGAGAAUGAGUUUUUAAUGUUCCUAAAGAGUCAAAGAAAUUAAACCAUCUCUUACAAUCAG